GCAGUGAAAUGUGAUGAUUCUUAUCCUGUGCUGAGGCUAAUGGCAGACAUGGGGCUGUCCUUUGAUUGUGCAAGCAAGAUUGAAAUACAGAAAAUUCUGGAUGUUGGGUUGAUCCGACCAGAAUAAUCUAUGCCAACCCAUAUAAGCAGUUAUCAUUUUUUAGAUAUGCCUCUGAUAAUGACGUAGCUAUGAUUGCAUUUGAUUGUGAGGAUGAACUAGAAAAGAUCAAAGAAGUAUAUCAUGCCGCAAAGUAUUAAGGCAUAAACUUGAUGUUAUACAUUUAUAUUCAUUGUGGAGUCAAUGUCCUUUUGAUUAUGAUGGUCUCAAAUAUUGUAUUGAUUUUGAUUAAAAUACUGUCAGUCGCGACCAUAGCUGACAAGUUACUGCCAUAGGGUCUAUGCCACUGCUAAUAGACUGUCAAUCUGCACUGAAAUCAUCUGCUUAGUAGACAGUGCUUCACUAUUUACUUGAUUUGACUGAUGCUCUUUGAUUGUGUAACUAUACUGAAACAAACGUUAUACAUCCCUCAGGCAAAGUAGACAUCUAACGAUUAUUGCUGUUCUGUUAAGGUAUUUUUGCUCUGCUGCUUGUGAAUUCGCCUUUCUACUUUGUUUUUCUGAGACGUAUCUGAUAAAAAUUAUUUUAUAAAAACGUAUCAGAAUUAUAAUUUUAUACAAUGUCAUGAUGCAAACUACUUUACCGAAAUGACUUAUAUUUUGUUCUGACUGGUAAAUACAGUUAAAAUCGUAAAAAAAAGAGGACCAAUUCCUCUGUUCUAGGAGAAAUAAGAUAGAGAAGCUUCAUGCUAUGAAACUGUCAACCUGUUCGUGACCAUUAUUAUCAAAAAUAGUAUACAUUGAUGAUACUUCAAAAAAUCAAUAAACGUGAGUGAUAUAUGAUAUAAAAAUGACACAUCCCAUAUUUUGUUUGGUAACAAUCGUCUCGUUGCUAUUGACUAGAAUUUCUUGUUUCUCCAACUGGUCAACACUUUCUAGCUAUAUUAGAACGUUCAUGAUCAAAUUAGUUUCAGCAAUUACAAAAUUUAUUCCAAGAAAUCUCAAACAUUCGAAAUGGGUAUACACAAAUGAAAAAAUGCAGGAAUGAUGUCUCAUUGAUAUAUACCCAACAUCCCCUUUAUUCAAUUAAUUACUAAAAUAAUUUGGUAGAACACAUCACAUAGAUAUAAGUUAUAUUUCUAAUAUAAAAAGGUACAAGGUGUAGGGUUCUUGUUCUCCCGCUGUGUUAUACCUGAUGUUUGCAAUGACUUGGUAUAUUAAUUUUGUAAACUUGGCAUUUUAUGUCACUGUUAUCUAACAUGUUUAUUUCAUGAUUUAAAGACUGAUAUUACGAAUAUGUCCACAAUAAAAUCACAAGGUAAAACAUCCUUUAAAAAGAAAAGUUCGGAUGUCAUCCUUUGAAAGCAUCACAGCUGCUUCAAUUUGCAAAGACACUGCAAUUAACCGUAAUUGGUGAAAGGUAAUAUAUUUUUAUUGCUAUAGAUCUCUCCACUUGAAUUUGUUUUUGUUGUGGUUAAACUCUCAAAUCAUCAUGUGGAAAAUAUAACUACAAUCAAAGAUUUUAUUUUGUUCAAAUUAAAUGUCAGUGAUACUGCAUACAAUUACCUUUACAUGCAUGUAUUAUCCAGAAUAUUCACCGCCACAAUCCAUAUUACAUAAUUUAGUAAUAAAAUAUACACGUCUGUAGUAUUAAGAACUAAUAUUAGAUAAGUCAGGCAUAUAACUUGACACAAUGGUCAUGCGUAACAAUAUAAAGUCACGCGAGUCAGGUGUUUCACAACAGUAUGUAUCCGUUACAGAUGUGUGUUAAACGACAAGUUUCAGGUUCAAGCGGAUUUUUAAUGAAUAUAAGAUUGAGGAAAUUAAGCUUCGUUAUGUCAUUAGCAUUUGUGGCAUUAUUUGUUGUGACCAUAAGGUCUUGUCACACUGUUUGCACUAUCAAUUCAUUUGUUGUAUCAAAUGCCAGAUACAAGCAUAUACUAUUCCUUCGAAUAUUUGGUUGGAUUAUAGACGCUUGUUGAUGCUUUAUUCAUAAAUGCAUCGAGUAUACGGCUAUCUUACUAUACACUUUGUACGUGCUUCCAAUAUGAACAUCAUUUCAAAAUUUAAACAAGACGUCAGGCAUAGUUUCAUAUCUACAUUUUUAACCUUUUUCUAGAAAAUGUGUAGUCUAUUUGUAAUAGUUCAGGAUGUGUUGUGUCUUUUUGGAGAUAUCAUUUCAAGCGAAUCGAAGAAUUAAGGGCAGGUGGAUAUGAAUAAAGAUUUAUUUCUUUUCAGGACGACGACGAAAAGGUAUAUGAUAUCACUAUAAGGGGACCGACGUGUGAUGCUGUAGAUUUAAUUAUAGAAAACAUCAAACUAUCGGACUUAAAAAGAGGAGAGUGGAUUUUCUUCAAGAAUAUGGGAGCAUAUGCAUUCCAAUGUGUGACGCGUAUGAAAAAAGCGAAUAAAAGGAUGCUACGAUCAUUCUAAAUUUAAACAGUGAGGUGUGAGCUUUUGAAUCAUAAUAAAUUGAAAUUUGCUGUAACAGUUAUAAAAUUUUAUAAAUCAAUUCGAAUUAAGGAAUAUCUCUUUCUCAUAUAAAGCUCCUUGUACACAUUUGGCUAUACUUAUGAUCAGCUCUUCAAUGUUUUAUAAAGUUUUGGAAUUUCAAAUAUUUUGCCCUCGACUAUCACCAAAGAGAAAUUAUUCGCUGAAAGAUGCAUAUUAUACAGUGAAAUUGGUACCUUUAUCGUUAUUAAUAUCAAUUCUCUGUAAAUAUAAAAAUGAGCUGGCCAUCAUAUGAUACAGAAUUUCACCAAAUUUGACCUUAAUACAUUUUAUGUUUCAAUUUUCAAAACAAAAAUAUUUGUCACUCCAUAAUCAUAAUGUGUCACCCUGUUGUUGCCAUGGAAACAUGACUUUUCAGAUAAAAAUAAAGGUAAUUAAAAUCUUGUUAAAUUUUUGUUUGUAGACUGCUUAAUGUCAUGAAAAAUUUUCUUCAAGCUUAUUUUAAUUUGUCAAAAGAUUUAAUUGGCCAAUAUGCAGAUUUAUCAAGGUUUUCUACUUUUUAAAGAAUUUAGUGGUCCAUAUAUCCUUAAAAUCUGUGGAUGUUUUCAUUCCUUUCCACACUAACUUCAAAGUAUAAUGUGACUUCAAUAUAAUCUAUACCAUAUAAAUAACCAAAUAAACUUGUAAAUUGAAUGGGAUAUUCAAGCAUUUCCUUAAGAAAAGUAUCAAGAAAAUAUUCAUUAUUCAUUAUUGAGAAUAUAGAGUUAUCUCCUCUGACAGAACUAUUCUGAUAUAAAAGCACACAUGGUGUACACAGGAAUUAUACACAAAUGGAAAAAAUUUGCAGACAACAGUGAUCAGUGAUCAACAGGGUGUUAAAACAUUAUGGUCAGUAAAUAACCAUGUCCCUUUGUAGCUUUAAAAGCUCACAGAUAUGUGAAUGCGCAGGUGAAAAUACCACACUGACUUCUUUGUCAUCAGCAUUGCAGUCCAUUAUUCUUACUGAGGCUGGUCUACUGCGAAGUGAUAUUACACAGAAGUUUCAAGUGUGCAGUGAACAUUUUCACAGGUUUUUGAAUCAAAACAAAGCAGGAUGUAAAUCUAAAAUAUGUGGGAUACCUGAUAUAAUUUCGUCUCAUUACAAAGACAAUAAAAUAUAUGGAGGAUGGUAUGGGGUAAAGGCAGACAGAAAUGUAUCUUUGGAAAAUGUGAGAGAGAUUCAUGCUAGAACAGGAAUAAUAUUUCCAGGUGGAACUCCAAUAUGUCCAAUAUGCAGAAAGACCCUUUAUUGUAGGCAAUCCAAUUUGUGUAGCCUGGCUGAAAAUUUUUCAAAUAAAAAUUGUUUGAUGAACAGUGACAACCUUGGUGAUACAUGUAGCUUUCAAUAUGAAGAACAGUAUAAUCUCAGACCUCAUCGACUUACUAGUGGUUAUAAUGUACAUAUCAUCAUCCAUAGCAGACCACUGUUGUUCAUAUGCUUUGAGUGAAGAAGAGGGACCCUUCUGCCAAAAAUGUGAUGACCAUUCACAUACUGAUGAAUGCCAACAGUGUUGUUUUGUUGAUGAAACAUUAUCUUUUAUUUUGAAGAGUGCAAUUGAAAGACACUGGGAUAAUCCUGAAGCUGUAAUCUUUAAGGUGGAAAAAGCAAUAGCCGAUAUUCAUGAAUGGAAGAGUCAUAUCCUUCGAUCAAAAAAUUAAGAAAAGGCAAGACAAUCUGUUGUGAACUGUCUCGGGGAAAAUGAGGCAUUCAUGGUAGCUGACUUGGCCAUGAAAUUUUUACCGCGAAAAUUUAGAGAGGGCCAGACAGAUUGGUUUGGAAAGAGAGGCAUUAAUUGGCACAUCACCGUUACUAUGUUAAAAACACAGGGAAGUGUGAAAUUUCUUACACAUGUGCAUAUAUUUGAACAACCCACCCCUCAAGAUGCAGCUACAACUGGAGCUAUUCUUGUCGAUGUGGUUCAAAAUAUUUCAUCUGUCAAAAAGGUCAACAUAUGGUCAGAUAAUGCUGGUUGCUGCAAAAGUACCUUGACCAUAGCCACUUUACAUCAAGAGCUAGGCAAGAAAAUAAAAUCCUACAAUUUUUGUGAGGCUCAGGAUGGGAAGGGCCCAUGUGACAGGAAGGCAUCCCAUAUCAAGUCAGCAAUUAAAAGACAUGUAAACGAGGGCAAUAAUGUGACAACUGCACACCAAAAUGAAACUGGCCAGUACAGGGUGAAAGUUAUAAGUCCUGUUAUUAAUGCUGAUGAUGAAAAGGUCUCACUGAGAAGUAUUCCAUUGAUUUCUAUGCUACACAAUUUUAAGUUUACCGAUAAUGGAUUGCAAGUUUGGAGAGCUUAUGAUAUUGGUCAAGGAAAGUUGAUAUCAUGGAACAGCAUUAUAAGAAAAUUGCUGUGAUACAUUCCCAGCUUGCUACAGUGGGUUCAGAAGUUGUUGACAGAGAAGAUGAUGAUGGUGAUGAUGAUGAAGAGGAUAAUAAUGAUGAUAAUGAUAAUAAUGAUGAAAAUACACAAAAUGAUAAUUAUGAUAAAGGUACAACAACUACAGAGCCAGUUCUUAAGAAGUGACGGACAAUAGCAAAAAUCUUUACUUGUCCUGAGGAAGGAUGUACACGUUCUUUUAAACAUUCAUCCUCAUUAGAUAAACACAUCUUGUUGGGUAACUGUAAUAUAAAGGAAGAAAAACUUAGCCUUGCAGAAAGAACAAAGGUUUUAUAUGCUCAGAAAUUGGAAGAUUGGAAUUUAGCAGUGUCAUUUACAAAACAACCUGCCAACAACAACAACACUGCUACUGACAAACUAAACAAAGGAUGGGCAUUAAAAGUGAACAAACCAAAAACAAUUUUCACACAAGACCAAAAGGCUUACUUGCAUGAAAAAUAUAUGAUUGGGAAAACAACUGGAAGAAAAAAGGAUCCAUCAAAAGUAGCUGAGGAGAUGCGAUAUGCCUUAAAAAAUGGAGAAAACAGGUUCUCUAGAUCCCAAUAUCUAACAUCACAACAAGUAGCUAGCUAUUUCUCAAGACUUGUGCAAAAAGAAAAGUAGAUAGAUGAAACAGAUUUAAUAGCUGCAACUGCAGACAGUAAAUGUUCGGUUUUGAAAAGGAACGUUUUGAAAGAAUGUUUUCUAUAAUUUUAGAAUAAGAUGAACAGGUUCAUAGUGAAAUAUCUGUGUUUUAUAAGUAUUUUUGAAAUACUUUAUUUUUUUUAAUAUUUCUAGUAACUGUAAAUUCAGAAAGUAAUGAGUGUAUUUAUUAUUGCAAAUCCCUGACCAGUGAUCUCUUAUUAAUGCGAUUGAAAUUUUUUUUGUGAAGGAAAAUCGCCACUGAAAAUGUGAAUGCGCAUUUAGGUAAUUGCAAACCUGAUUCUGACAUUUUUCACAUUUUUCGCAUUAAUAAAAACAUUCCAAUAAUUUCUGAAUUUCCAGUAUAUCUUUUAUAACACCUAUGCAUCAAAUACACAACCUUGAUCAUGACAUAACCCUGGUAGGCUAACUACCUUGAUUUUUAGGCAGGGAAGUGGCACUGAAAGAUAUAAAAAACUUAACCCCGAAAUUUAUACAUUAUGUCUCUCCCCUCCCCAUCCACCAGUUUGGUGGGGAGACAUAUUGUUUUUGGCUUAUUCGUCUGUCCGUCACAAAGUUUCUCAGCGCAACUCCUCUUCAACUACUAAACCGAAUUUUAUGAUGAAACUUGGUAUGUAGCAAGAACACCAUAUGUAGUUGUGCAUGUUAACAGGAAAUUUUGAUCCGUUAAUUUUUGUGGAAGUUAUGCCCCUUUGAACUUAGACAUUUUUCAAAAAUAGUCAUAAACUAGUUUGUCAUCGCAACUCCUCUUAAACUACUGAACCGAAUAGGAAACUUGUUAUGUAGCAAGGAAAUCAUAUGUAGUUGUGCAUACUACCGGGAAUUUUGAUCCGCUAAUUUCUGUUGAAGUUAUGCCCCUUUGAACUUAGAAAUUUGCCAAAAAUCAUCAUUAAUUAAUUUGUCAGCGCAACUCUUCUUAAACUACUGAACUGAGGUUGACGAAACUUGGUAUGUAGCAAGGACAAUGUACAUAAAGGUCAUGGAAUUUCCCACAAUUUUUUUUUUGGGGGGGGGGGGGGUUAUCCAACUAUAUAUCUUCUACAUAUAUUACCAUUAGUUUAAUUUCAAAUCAGUGUGCAAAGGUAAAAAAAUUCUAUUCAAAAUUGGCUCCCAAAGGGAAUUUUCUUGAUUUGGUAAAAUGCCAAACUUUGGAUAAAUAAAGUGUUGUUUUGAAUUAUGCAGAAUUAUUAUUAUGAAUAGUUUUCUAUAUGAUAUGAAACUUAAAAUACAGUACUUUAAGAUAAAUUACAGCAUA